UUCUUUGGCUAAGCGCCAUUUCAAGCGAGGACAGUCGUAACAAUGGAUACAGCUCCUUUGCCAAAAGAGGCAUUACAUGAUAGUUCAAAAUUAUCAGAUUUUUAUAACUGCAAGAAGUUCCCGAAGAUGCUGUUAAUGUCCUAAAAGGAAAGGAUUUUAAACUUAAUGGGCGGAUGGUUUCAAGAUUUACAUAUUUCAAAAUCAUAUGUAAACAGCACAAGUAGCCCUUUAUAUACCAAUACAUGUGCUUAAAUACAGCGUAAGUAAAGAGUUUUAUUUUAAUAUAUUGCAUGCCGUACUUCGUUUGAUUUAUUUGGAAUAUCUAACAUUCAAAAUAAGCUUUUCUUCCUAUUACAGCUUAAAUAAUUUACUUCUGACUUACAAAUCACUAUUUUUUACUUAAUCACUCGUGCUAUUAAAUUUAAUAUCACAAAGUUGUAAACACUUCCAAGUUAAAAAAAUUUGUACAAUUUUCGUAAUGAAAAUUUUGACUCUUGAUUCAAUAGUAAUCCCAGUAAUGAAUUUUGAAAACAGGCGACGUAAAACUUUAAAUCACUUUUUCCAUGAAAUUUAGAAUAAAUAUUACUUAUUUGUAAUUUUUAAUUGAAACGUAAAAAUUUACUUUUGAAAGUAAGUGAUGAUAUAAAAAAUGCGUCUAAUCCAUAAUCUGAAGAAUUUCUAAUAAACAAUAUUUUAUUUAACAUUAGCAGAUGUAGAAGCUCGAACGAUUUUCUAAAAUGGUUAUUUUCUAAGAAUUAACAGCUAACUGUUUAGAGCCUACGAUUCUUAAGAUUACAUGUGUAAAAGUCCUUCAGCAUUGUAAAUAUUCAUUGUACAUUGCGAAAGAUUUAAAUGGGGGGGGGAGGGGUUCUUGAUAUUAUUUGCUACUGUAGAGAGAUACAAAAGUUUUCAAAAGAAAGUAAGUGUUUCAUUUUAAAAUACAAUAGGCAUUUAAGGCAAUGAGACAUAUAAUGACACAUGAGUAAGUUUUCUCUUAAAGGCUGCCUUAUGUUUAGUUUAAAAUGAUUAGAGAAACCGCCUCCAAUUCUUGAUUUGUAAAAUUCAGGUACCUCAAAGAAUGUAUUUAGACGCAAUGCUAUAUAAAAAACAAAAUUAAUUAUUUGACAUGGUUUCAAAAUUCAGAACGUCCCUACCUAAUAAAAACUGUGAUUUUAAAGUAGCGAUGCUUGGAAUUUUCUUUCAAAACAACUAAAUUCGCAGUAUAAAAUCAGUUAUAUUCAGCAUUACUGACCUCAUAGUAUAUGAAGCCCAUUAAAAUCUACAAUAUUUAGUCCAAUAUACAUAAAAUUCUUUUCAAAAUGCCUGUGAUGUCAACUGUCAAUUUAUUUAACAAGAAGAAGAAUAGUAAAUAUUUUUUCAUGGAGGUAAAAUGUGAGAGCAGAAAUUUAAUAUGAAGUAAAUAAAAUUACAAUUAAGAUACAAUAACAUGCCGAACAAGUAUUAAUUAGUUAAACAACAAAAAUCAGCGUUAUAUUUUCAAAUUUUCACAG